AGAGAGAAGCUUGCUUCUCUUGAGAGCGGCGGACGGGUGAGUAAUGCCUAGGAAUCUGCCUAGUGGUGGGGGAUAACGUUCGGAAACGGACGCUAAUACCGCAUACGUCCUACGGGAGAAAGCGGGGGAUCUUCGGACCUCGCGCCAUUAGAUGAGCCUAGGUCGGAUUAGCUAGUUGGUGAGGUAAUGGCUCACCAAGGCGACGAUCCGUAACUGGUCUGAGAGGAUGAUCAGUCACACUGGAACUGAGACACGGUCCAGACUCCUACGGGAGGCAGCAGUGGGGAAUAUUGGACAAUGGGCGAAAGCCUGAUCCAGCCAUGCCGCGUGUGUGAAGAAGGUCUUCGGAUUGUAAAGCACUUUAAGUUGGGAGGAAGGGCAGUAACCUAAUACGUUAUUGUUUUGACGUUACCGACAGAAUAAGCACCGGCUAACUUCGUGCCAGCAGCCGCGGUAAUACGAAGGGUGCAAGCGUUAAUCGGAAUUACUGGGCGUAAAGCGCGCGUAGGUGGUUCAGUAAGUUGGAAGUGAAAUCCCCGGGCUCAACCUGGGAACUGCUUUCAAAACUGCUGAGCUAGAGUACGGUAGAGGGUGGUGGAAUUUCCUGUGUAGCGGUGAAAUGCGUAGAUAUCAGGAGGAACACCAAUGGCGAAGGCAGGUCUCUGG
rnacentral:rRNA from 1 species